GUGAAAAAAGAGAACGCCGUUUUGUCGAGUCGACUGGCUAUGUAUUUUAUGGUACGUCUGGACGGUUUCGGGGGUCGUUUAACACGUGAGAGCGUUUUUCGUAUGGCGGUUGACGACGCGCUGCACUGGCGAAAAGGCUUGCCAGUUUUAUUGUACGGCGACAGUUGUUUUUCGGAGCAAUAAAACAACUCGUUAACGUUACCGACCGAACACGGUAUAUGUACCUGUAGAAUAUAUCUAACCUAUUGUACAUAAAAUUUAAAUCGAAAUCACUGGAUGGCGUGUAUA